rnacentral:rRNA from 1 species
UGGGGGAUAUUGCACAAUGGGGGAAACCCUGAUGCAGCGACGCCGCGUGAGUGAAGAAGUAUUUCGGUAUGUAAAGCUCUAUCAGCAGGGAAGAAAGAAAUGACAGUACCUGACUAAGAAGCCCCGGCUAACUACGUGCCAGCAGCCGCGGUAAUACGUAGGGGGCAAGCGUUAUCCGGAUUUACUGGGUGUAAAGGGAGCGUAGGCGGCUUAGUAAGUCAGAAGUGAAAGCCCGCAGCUCAACUGCGGGACUGCUUUUGAAACUGCCAGGCUAGAGUGUCGGAGAGGUAAGUGGAAUUCCUAGUGUAGCGGUGAAAUGCGUAGAUAUUAGGAGGAACACCAGUGGCGAAGGCGGCUUACUGGACGAUGACUGACGCUGAGGCUCGAAAGCGUGGGGAGCAAACAGG